rnacentral:rRNA from 1 species
AAUGAACGCUGGCGGCGUGCCUAACACAUGCAAGUCGAGCGGGGUUUUCGGACCUAGCGGCGGACGGGUGAGUAAUGCGUAGGAAGCUACCCGAUAGAGGGGGAUACCAGUUGGAAACGACUGUUAAUACCGCAUAAUGUCUACGGACCAAAGUGUGGGACCUUCGGGCCACAUGCUAUCGGAUGCGCCUACGUGGGAUUAGCUAGUUGGUGAGGUAAUGGCUCACCAAGGCGACGAUCCCUAGCUGGUUUGAGAGGAUGAUCAGCCACACUGGAACUGGGACACGGUCCAGACUCCUACGGGAGGGAGCAGUGGGGAAUAUUGGACAAUGGGCGCAAGCCUGAUCCAGCCAUGCCGCGUGUGUGAAGAAGGCCUUCGGGUUGUAAAGCACUUUCAGUAGGGAGGAAGCGUUGUGUGUUAAUAGUACACAGCGUUGACGUUACCUACAGAAGAAGCACCGGCUAACUCUGUGCCAGCCGCCGCGGUAA